AUUGAACGCUGGCGGCAGGCCUAACACAUGCAAGUCGAACGAGUGGCGGACGGGUGAGUAAUGUCUGGGAAACUGCCCGAUGGAGGGGGAUAACUACUGGAAACGGUAGCUAAUACCGCAUACCAUCGGAUGUGCCCAGAUGGGAUUAGCUAGUAGGUGGGGUAAAGGCUCACCUAGGCGACGAUCCCUAGCUGGUCUGAGAGGAUGACCAGCCACACUGGCACGGAGACACGGUCCAGACUACUACGUGAGGCAGCGUUGGGGAAUAUGGCACAAUGGGCGCAAGCCUGAUGCAGUCAGGCCGCGUGUAUGCAGAAGGCCUUCGGGUUGUAAAGUACUUUCAGCGGGGAGGCGUUACCCGCAGAAGAAGCACCGGCUAACUCCGUGCCAGCAGCCGCGGUAAUAC
rnacentral:rRNA from 1 species